AACUUUUGGCAACGGAUCUCUUGGCUCUCGCAUCGAUGAAGAACGCAGCGACAUGCGAUAAGUAAUGUGAAUUGCAGAUAUUCAGUGAAUCAUCGAAUCUUUGAACGCACCUUGCGCCCCUUGGUAUUCCGAGGGGCAUGCCUGUUUGAGUGUCAUUAAAUUCUCAACUCUGAUUUGAUUUGUUUCUUAUCGGGGCUUGGACUUGGAGUGUGCUGGCAAUCUGGUCGGCUCCUCUCAAAUGCAUCAGCGGAAUCUAACCUUUGAUUUCCGGAAGUCGGUGUGAUAAUUAAGUUGCGCCGUCAUUCGACUUUGAAGUCCGCUUAUAAUGGUCUUCGGACAACUCUUAUAAAAUUUGACCUCAAAUCAGGUAGGACUACCCGCUGAACUUAAGCAUAUCAAUAAGCGGAGGCU
rnacentral:misc_RNA from 1 species